UGAGCAAUCUGCCCUUCUCUUCGGAAUAAGCGUGGGAAACCGCGUCUAAUGCCGAAUACGACCUCCUUUCGCAUGAUCGGAGGUGGAAAGCUCCGGCGGAGAAGGAUGAGCUCGCGGCCUAUCAGCUAGUUGGUGUGGGUAAUGGCCCACCAAGGCGACGACGGGUAGCCGGCCUGAGAGGGUGACCGGCCACACUGGGACUGAGACACGGCCCAGACCUCCGUACGGGAGGNAGCG
rnacentral:rRNA from 1 species